GAUGAACGCUGGCGGCGUGCCUAAUACAUGCAAGUCGAGCGAACAGACGAGGAGCUUGCUCCUCUGACGUUAGCGGCGGACGGGUGAGUAACACGUGGAUAACCUACCUAUAAGACUGGGAUAACUUCGGGAAACCGGAGCAAAUACCGGAUAAUAUAUUGAACCGCAUGGUUCAAUAGUGAAAGACGGUUUUGCUGUCACUUAUAGAUGGAUCCGCGCCGCAUUAGCUAGUUGGUAAGGUAACGGCUUACCAAGGCGACGAUGCGUAGCCGACCUGAGAGGGUGAUCGGCCACACUGGAACUGAGACACGGUCCAGACUCCUACGGGAGGCAGCAGUAGGGAAUCUUCCGCAAUGGGCGAAAGCUUGACGGAGCAACGCCGCGUGAGUGAUGAAGGUCUUCGGAUCGUAAAACUCUGUUAUUAGGGAAGAACAAAUGUGUAAGUAACUAUGCACGUCUUGACGGUACCUAAUCAGAAAGCCACGGCUAACUACGUG
rnacentral:rRNA from 1 species